GACUUGUCCUGUCAGGCAAAUUGCUCUGACUGCAGAAGACAAAAGGCCAAGUAUUGAAACAAAAAUACUGAAAACAGUCCAAACCCGCCUGCACUUAAAGAUUAUUUGCAUACAGGUACUGGGAGGAAACUUCUUUGUUUUACAGGCAACAGAUGGGUAGGAAAGGAAGAGCACAAAACAGAAAGUCAACUCUACAAUCCUAGAAAACUGUGUUGAUGAGGGAAUCUCUCAGAUGAGGGUAUGCAAAAUAGAAGUGACAAGUAUGAGCUGGGGCUUGCUCACUCUGACAUAAGUCAGGAGUAGGUGUCCAGGUGAGUGGAAGUUUUUUAAAGGCAAGAUCUGAAUCAGCCCCUUCACCUGAGGGAGGCAGGUAUCUAAGAUGCUGGUGACUGAUAGAAUAGUUACCAAGUUAUGAUAAAGGUGAGUAAUGAUUUUUAUGUCAUUCUUCACAGACUGUCUUCAUAUCCUCUUCUGUACCAUACAAGCAAGAGACCUGCUAUUCCACAAAGCACCCAAAUACCUCAGUGCUUUUUAUAACAAACUGAUAUGAACCCAUGCUACUCCUGUCAGCCUGUGAAAGACUGACUCUAGAGCAGGUGUAGGUUUCUUCAGUAGAGCUCUUGGCCACUGUUAGUAACAGUAGUAGGAAGCCCUGAAUUGCAUGUCAAUAGCAGGCCUUCAGCAACCUCAAAGGGUUUUUACCCCUCCCUCACUUGCCAUGUUUUAUGUGGACUAACUGGAAGAAAUCACUUCUUUGACCUUCUCUCACAGUCUAAAUAGAUAUGAGUCAUUAAAAUAUUUAUUAAAGGAGGGGAGAACAAAGAGAGGGAAAAAAAGCUGAAGUUAUAAUAAUGUUAAUAAAAUAGUCAAAAGAACAGAAUUCAGGGAAGGUAGAGAAAACAGCAUGUACUUUAUUUCAGCUGCCUUCUGGUCUGGUUUAUCCACAUGAAUGUAUAGACUGAUGGAGAAUGAAGGAAUAAUGCUUAGUACAGUCAGGCUCUGUGUCACAGGGUGUUAAACAGGAGUAAAACACUGGGUCAGUGACAGUACCUCUGAAACUGCCUCUAGCCCAUUCCUGCACCUCUUACGGAGAAUAUAUCCUUAGGCAAUUUGCUACACAAUUAAAUAUUGCAGUUAUGCAUUCGUAAACUGCCCAGUUGCUAAAGCUGCAGUGUGGGAAAUGGUGAGCAGAAAUCUGUAGUAAAGUGACAACGUAAUGUAAUCCUGCACUUUACAGGAAGGUUUCGGAUAAAAAACUGUUUCCAAAUCCCCACUGAAAGGCACAUAUAUGAUAUAUGUUGCAAAGUAAAUCUCUCCUUUCUCAGUCAGUAAAUUGAUGUUAACAUCAGUGCUAUACUGCAGUUAAUAAGUACACUGAAAGAUUAGGUGCCCUGCGUGUGUUAUGUGAGUUGAUUUAUUCAUUUAUUUAUUCAUUCAUUCACACAGUAUUUGCAGAUUAACACAUUUGUCUUUCCUAAAUCAACUGCGUAACACUUCAGAUCUUUAGUUUCUUUACAGUCUAUCUACAAAUAAUUGCUUCUUAGAGUCUGAAAAAAAAGUACAGUGGCAAAUCUGCAUUUUGAAGACACUUGAAAGUUGGCAUUGAGAUGUCAGAAAAGGUGCUGAUACAACUUUGGUACAGAUUUUGCUAGGAAACUUAUCAGAACCAUACAGCAAUGAAGGCUUUAGCUCAAAUUGCAUUUGUUAAGAAUUCAGUGGCUAAAUAUUUCAAAUUUUCCUCUGUACCAAGCACGUUUUGCCAGCUCACAAAUCCUCCUACACUACAGACAGUAGAGAAAAGUAUAGGUUUUUAGAGAACAGCUGAUCCUGUUUCAGAGGUGAGCAGAACUUCCCCUCUAAUUCUGCUUCCAUAUUGUUAGAAGCUGUUACAAUUUAAGGUGCUGGAUUUGAACGAGAGAAAGCUGUUUCUCCUUCCUCUCGUUAUUUCUCUCCUAGGAGCCCAUGUCUUCCUGGAGGGGGGGGGGGGGGGGGGGGGAAGGAACAAUGCAAUUAGACUGUGAGAGCUUUCAUAUCUUACAUGGACUGCAUGGUGGAGAAAAGGUGAAAGGAAAGCGGUUGCUGGAGGAGUCAGUGAUAGAAGGGAAGGGGAAGAGUGGAGGCUUUGUAACUAUUCAGCUCCUCAGCAGUGUUCUGCUAUCAGCAAUAGCUUUGAAAACCAUACUCAGAAUGGGUCUCAGAAAUGAAAAAAAAAAUUAGCAGACAAUAGUGAUACCAGAAGGUACAAAGAGGUCCAUACUAUGAGCAUGAAGGAUCUAGUUGGGCAUUUAUGGUUGAUUUUGUUUUCUUGACAAAGGCCAAUUUGUUGAAUAUAUCUUACACAGCAAGAGGGCUUGCUUUCAGAUGGUUUCCACAAAGCAAAAAGUUUGAGGAAAAGAGCUACAGAAUGGUAAGUGCCCACAGUGACAUUUUCAAAAUUGAAAAUCUUGGUAUUAUGGCAUGUCACAAGCUUUCAUCUGAAAAUGCAAGCUAACCAUGAUAAAAAAAGAAACUAAAAUGAUCAGAAACAAAAGGAAAAAGUUCAAAAUUAUACAGAAGGCCUGCUUCAAUUCAAUAAGAAUCAUGUAUUUAACUUUCAGUCUAAGAGAAGUGUGGCAUUUCAACUUCUAAACCCUCUUUGUGGUGAAUAUUUUCUUUCAUUUAACUGGGAUAAUUUUCUUAAGAGAGAAAAAAAACAUCUGUUUCCCCCUCCUUCCAGCUGCAGCUUUGCCCUUUUACAUUUCUGUGUGUCAGAUCUUUAUACAAUGGGUAGCGUUUCAAUGGGAAAUAAGGGGGAUGGAACUCAAGGGUUUCAUUUGCUCUUUUAGCAGAAAAAUCCCUCUAAAAAUCUAUUAAAUGUUAUGGUCAUAAAAUCAGAGGCCCAGAAUACAUGAAAUGCCAGGAUUUGAAUGUCCUUUCAACCUUAACUCAGCCAUUUUCUGCUUAGAAACUACAAUACAGCUUUUUCAUUUUUAUGAUCACCUUCUUCUUUCCCCAGAGCCUCAUAGUACAUAAAUAGGUAUUUUCUGAGUGAAUAGUUUUUCACUAUUGUGCAUUAUCACCAUCAUUUAACAUGUUUGCUUUGACACUUUGUCUGGAUUGAUGCCCCAAGGUCCUAUUUAUGCAGUCUUUCCUUUGAAAGAUGUCCAUUUGCUAUUUGUUGUUUGCAUCCUUUUUAAGACUCUAAAAUCAAAAGGUCAUAUUCUGAAAGAAAAAAAAUUCCCUAUAAGUUUGCAAUAUACAGUCAUCAAAUUUACCUGGAAUUCUGACAUUUGAAUUGUAGACAGUAAUCUAACCGCUUAUAUUUGUAUCUCAUAUAUUUAAAGGCAUAAGCCAACAAAUUAACUAACUCCAUAAUAAAAAGACUUGGGUUUGCCUGCUAAAGAAAGCCACAACAUUUUGGUUUUCAUGGUGGCAUUGUUGAACCCUCACUAUGGUACCUGGAGUCAGCAUCAUAAAAAUUUUUGCUUUGAACUUCAUUUUUUUCUUUCCUUGGCCAGUACUGUCAGGAAACUUCACCUUCAUUUUAUAGUCUAAAGGGAUGAAAUAUCCAAGAAUUCCAUAAGGCGUGCAUCCAAGAGAAGCAAAGAAACUUUUCAAGCAACAAUAAACCAGAGUAUUUCAAAUAAAACAAAAUACACAGAAAUCUGUGUCUUGAUGGUGGGAAAGACUUUACAUACCAUUCUCAGAACGUGAAUAUACACCCACCUCCUUUUUCACCAGUUCCUUUUCCCAAAACUAAGCUGUAUUUCAUUCAGGUUGUUUUAGAGGUUUCCAGAUAAUGUUGCUCUCAAAUCUGUCACAUUUGGAAUGCAGUGGUUCAUGAAUGACCUUUUUGUUAUGUUCACUAAGCAAGUAGGAUCUCAAUCCAAGCAGAUUCUUUGGCUUUGGCUCACUCCACUCUCCCCUAUGCUCUAAACAAACCACUUCCCUAGGCUCAGAGGGCCAUAACUUUGGUUGUUUGAAAAACUCAUUUAACGCAAUUGAUUGUAACAUUCUCCCUCUCUUUUCCCCCAGCCAUAACUUCCUGAUUGCUGUUCAUCUGUACCAGAUGUGUGCUUUACAUUUCCAAACUAUAUAAAUGCGUUGCCCCAAAUGGCUCUCUCUCUUCCCAUGUGCUGCAUAUUUAUAUUUAUAGUAGCAAGCUAACUUGUAAACUACAGCAUCUAUUUAACUUCAGAUCUAGAAAAGAAAUGGGGAAUUCCUCUCCGAGAGGUGCAAUUCAUGCUGCUGGUAGCCAUAUCAAUCUUCAGAAAAAUCUGAGUACAUAAGUUGCACAAGGAGGAGUUAGAGUGAUCUCCAAGGAAAAACUGAGGUAUGCAGAGAGUAAUUGUACUUACGAAGCAGAUGUUACUCUUUGCUUCUAAUCAGUACUAAAGCCAUACGCUACCAUGGUGCAAAGGUGACAGUGUUGACCUGGGUGUCAUUCUUCUAAUGAGCUAAUCAGCAAUGACAGUUAAAACUUUUCAGUGCAAUCUGCUGCUCAGUGGGAGUUUAAAGCGGCUUGUGUGUGUGCAUGUCUACUUUCUACAGCAUUUCUUCUGAGAAAUAAGCAGAAGCCAAAAAUGGUACAUUAAUAGAAAUAAGGAAAAAUUCUGUAAAAUCCACCUUCUUCAUUUUCCUGUCUAGUAAGAAGGGAAUGGUGACUAUGUCUUUCAUCAAGGGACAUACUUUAAUAUAUUUCCACGUGUACAAAAGUGAUGCAACCUGCUCUUGGCAGGAGGGUUGAAACUAUGCAAUCUUUGAGAUUCUUUUCAACCCAGGCCACUCUAUGAUUCUAUGAUUUUAUGAAGAUGCAGCCUGUGCAUGCACAGAGAUGCUGUGUAAGUACGAGGAGAUUUUGUCCAUUAUAUAGACUUUAGAACAUAUCCUUAAAUUCAUCUUGGUGUUUUCUACAAGUCCAAGGGAAAAUUUCAGCUUGCAUUUAUAACUCUGAUCCCUACACAUACACAGAUGGAAUUUCCAUCAGUUUGGAAGUUAUUUUAAAUUUUAAAAAGAUGAGAUAUUUCCCUUUAACAAAACAUAUGCUGUGACUGCAGUUGCCAAAUUUUCUGGUUUUAAUGUACAUCUACUCUUCUGAAAAUUCUAGCCCCAGGAAUUAUGCCAUUAUGUUAAAUACUGGACUAAAACAUAAAAACAUUGAUUUAUCUCAUUACACAUUAAUCUCAUCUGAAACUUCCCUUUCGCAUGAUUCUGAGGCGUAGUGUAUCACCUGGCACAAAAGUAAGAAAAUUUGGUGGCUCAUCAACCCAAGAGCAGCAACAUUCCAGACUCUUGACUAACCCAGCCAUACACCUUUAGCUCUUAAGGAAGAACAGAGUAGAUGCUGUUGAAAACUUCAAGACUGCAAUAAUUUUGUCCUGAAAAUGUCUAUACUAAGCUGCAUUUCCUCCACUGAUAGUCUCUCUUUUUUUUUCUUAAUUUUUGUGUUUCUUUUUUUCAGGUUAAAAAAGCGAUCAUAUUAAUGACUCAGAACUGAAAAAAAUAACUAUUUACUGUUUAAAACUGCUUAACAAAAUAAGAAGCUUUAAUAAUUAUUUCCAGAAAAGAGUCUCAAAAUGUUUUUAGUGCAUUUGUUUUGAAAACAAAUAAGCAAGCAAAACAAAACCAAACAAAACCCCUGCAUUUCAAUUUCUAGUUAAAUUAUAUCCAUUUUCACUUGAACAAUUUAACACAUUUUCAGUUUCAGCACCAGUGCUGUUAUAGCACUUAUUGAGCAUACUGGGCUAUCAUCUCAAGCCCCAAGGCUAUGACAACAUAUUACAAUAACAGAGCUAUGAUAACACUUAUAGCUUUCCAGGUCCACUUAUGCCAUCAAUAUUCAUCUGGUAUUGUGUAUAUCCCUGUGUGUGGCUGUACUUCUGUGCCUAUAUCUCUUGAAUCCAUUAAGCUGCUCUGAUUUGAAAGUCAAAUGUGGCAGCUGCAAAGUGAAUGUAGAUAGUAUGGAAGAGAAAAUCAUGUAAAAAAUGCAUACCAAAAGAUCAAAUCUUAAGAAAGACAUAUUAACUCAUGAACAUUCUGCAGUUUUGAAUGGGUUCUUGUCAUCUCCUGUCCUUGCUUGCCAUAGAGUUUACAUGCAGUUUUUAAGUAGGUUUCCUAUUUCAUUAUUAAUAAUGCAUUUUGUUAGUAAGUAAUGAGACUAUCAUGGAAAUCAAAUAAUUCAUUGCAAAUUUAUCAAUCUCACAACAUGUAGAUAGAGUGAGGGGACUUGGUUUGUUGUUGAUGCUGUUUUUAUAGCUUAUUCAAUUUGUAGAAAUAUUUCUGAGAAAUACUAGAAAGUGAAAAACAUGAGGAUAAGAAACCCCAUAAACAUUCCUGCCUGUCCCAGUGGCUGUACUGACCCCACUUUGUGACAGUGUGCUCUCCCUGACACCCCCCCGCCCCCCAGCUCCUUCUCCACCCUUUCUUUCCCUCAAUUCCCUCCUUGGACCUGCCCUCACAGACAAGGCCUUACACAGUGGAAAAAUGAGCAACAACUCCCAAAUCUGUGGGUGAUGUCUGACUAGAAGGAUGGGGACAGCUGACUAGCGGCUAUUUUCCCUGCCCCUUCAUCCACAUUUGUGCACCCCCAGCAGUCAGAAUACACCAUUCCAAAGAAUAAUUGGAUUUUCUCAGCUUCUCAAGGAAGCUCUAGAGACAUUUUUACUUUCAGUAAUUUUUAUUUUAACCAUUAUUGGUAUAUUUUCCUCAAAGUCCAAGAUUCUGUGGUAUUGGUGGCAGACACAAGCCAAGGUUCAAUCCUGUGCCUUUCUUUUUAUACAUUCACUCUUCUGCAGUAUAAAACAUCUGUACACUUUGUGUGCAGAGAUGAGUAAUAAUUUAUUCUAAGUACUUCACCUCCUCUUCUAAUUCUGAACUAUCUGUAAGUUCGUAUACAAGUGGCUUUGGUAAAUAAAUCUGGCAAUUGUUUCAUGAAGAAAUGUGCAAACAUGGAAUCUUUGAGAAGUAAAUAUUUUAUUAUAUUAAUAUAUGUUAUACUAUAUAUCAUAAUAAUAUAUAUUAAUAUAAUAAAUGUAAUAAAUAUAUAUUAUAUAUGUAAAUAUAUGUAAAUACAUAUAAAUGUUUAUAUAUGUAUUUAUAAUUUUAUAUAAAUAUAUAUAAUAAAAUAUAUAAUUAACAUUUAAUAUUUAAUAUAAUAAAUGUUAAUGUUUUGCCAACAUCUCAAAGAGGUCCAUGAUCUGGGUCACUUCAUUUUAGUUACUCUGGUGUUGCUCAUGAGCAAAAGUAUGAAGAAGAAAAAAAAAAAAAGACAGACCACAGUCAGCAGAGUGGUAGAAUAAUUUCUGGUUUUCAACCAGUUUUCCUGAAAGCUGAAAAAAGAAGGAUUUUGUGGGAAGAGAGAUACCUUCUUUGGCAAAGAAAUGUAAACAAAGAUAUAUAUGUAAGAGAGUUGCUUUAGUACAGUGUGGUCUUCUGAUUUAAAAACUCACAAUAUUCAAUAUCAGCAGAGCACACAGCAGAUCAGUAAUUAGCUAAGUGACAUACCUAAACAUAGCUGGUUAAUAAUGAAUUCUUCUGUAGGUCAUGUUGCCAAGCGAAAUGUUAUACAACAUUUUAGUGAUGGUCUAGGAGGAAAUGUGAAGCUGAUGACUAAAUAUUCAGACAACACAAUGACAGGAAAAGUAAGAAAUAAUGAGAAACUAUUUGUAUCAUAGAGUAAACUGGACAUGGUCUGACAGAGUAGACUGUGGAAAGUCUGAAGUCCACAGAUGAACAGAAUACACUAUUUCUGUUAUUUAUUCAGGAAAGCAACAUCGAAGUCAUUGGGAAACUACCCAUCUUGUUUUCUCCUUAGGUAUUUAGGUUUUAAAGAUUUCUAUUCUGAUAAGAACAGAUUCACAAAAUCUGCCUAUUUUUUGCAAUUAAGUCCCUAAAACUGUAAAAUCAAUUAAAGCAAUCUGUUUCAUUUCUGUUCAUAACAUAACACUCUCUUCAGCUGCCUAAUUAUCCUUCCUAGCUGGGCUUACUACUGCCAUUAAAUGGUAGAGGUUUUUGAAACUAAAUUUUAUCUACACAUAACUGCCACUUCAAACUCAGUUUGUCCUUCUUAAAUUAAAUAAAGUUUUAGAAAAGUGCAUUUUUCAUAACUGAAUUUUUGCUAAAGGUCAAGCAUCUACUGAAAUGUUUCAGUGGUCUGUCCACAUCUGUGGACAGAAAUUAUUGAAUUCCACUUUUUUUUUUUUCCUACCAUAAAUAAAUUAUUUAGUUAAAACACUGGAUAAGUACUGGAAAGUGAUCCAAACUAAAAGGUUUUUUUUUUUUUUUAAAUUGCAGAAAAUUUUGUUACUUCAUUACAAAAAAAAAUGAUAAUAUAUCUCUGUAACUAUUGAUUUAAGCACUUCAGUACAUUAUUGCACUGGUUUUAUACAACUGAGAAAAAAUGCUUCUGUGUUCUUUCUUCUAGUGUUCUCAAGUGAUCCUUUAGUAUUUAUUACAAUUUACUAGUCUUUCAAGGACCAUUAUGGAAUUUAAAGCAUAUUGGCAUGGUUCAAAUAAGCUAUUUGCUCUUCUUCCAUAACCUGGAGACUUCCUGUUACUGGCUACAUACUGUGAAAAUAAAUGGCAAUUUUGCUUUACUAUUAUUCAUUGGGUCAUAAUACUCAAAGUUAAUGUGUGCUGUGAUAACUUAUUUAUGAAAAACAUUCACAUAUCUUGAAAGUGUCAUAAAUUUUAACACACAUAAUUUGCUCAUUAAUUCAUACCAUAAAGCAUGGUUGUUCUUUAUUCAUUCUUCAUCAUGCAUCUCUCUUUUAAAAUCUUUCAUUCUGCCAAUGUGGAAAAAAACAAUACAGCAUUUGCCAGUGACCAGUCACAUUUAUGACUACAUAAAAAGUUAAAUUCUUCUAUAACCCUAUCAACAAAUAUUUUCUAUCCCCUACAGAAUAGAAUUAACAUUUGCAAAUUAUUAAUCUGCAGUGCAGCUCAUUUUGAAAAUCAUUCUACAAGAAGGCUAAGUGUAUAAUACUAUUUAUUCCAAGAAAAUAAAUCAUAUGAUUCUAUUUAACACAUCUCAAGAAGUAGAAGGUAAGUGGAAAUAUGCAUUAAAAUUCUUGACUACAGUCAUGGGAGCGGUAACUCUUACAAAGACCACAGACUUGAUAGUCAUACGAAUUUCCUGUAUAAAUCUGUACACUUCAAAUAUAUUAUUCCCUCUUAAUCAUCACUGUAAGUGCCUUACUGGUAGAGAAUUUUAUCUUGAUUCUGAUCACCGCUACUGAAAAUGUCUUCUUUUUAAGCCUUGUCCUUGCUGUUUCCUGAAAUGAGAUGUUAAUAUACAGGUUUUGAAGUUUCUCACUUGCCUUAACGUUUUGAUUGGGAUCUUAAAGUAGCAACUAAGUAUUCCUAGUGCAUUAUUCAAAGUAAGACAAUCUCAGAUUCUCAACUAACCUAUUUUGUGACUCUCCUACUUUUUUUUUCCUUAGGUAUCUAUUGUUUGAAAGCUGUAAAAGGUGGGAAAUUAUCCUUCAUUUGCCUAAGAAAAUGCUGUGUUACCAGAACCUAAUUCAUUUUUCAGUAAGAUGGAGGCACCUUUGUUUUGAGUCAAUGUAUUCAUUAUGUCCAUAAAGUGCAGAACUUCUGUAACAGCCAAACACUUAAAGCGCUGCUGCCAUUUACUCAGGUUCACUUAACGUACUACUGAGUUAUUGUUUCUUCUUUUAAUUUGCGUGGUUCCUGUCUUGCCAAACUCUUUUGCAUACACAAGCAGUGGUGCAUAUGUAUGAAUAUAUUUGCAAAGACCUGUAGACCGCACACUUGAAAUAGCUUAGCAUUUGUUUGCUUCCUCUUCCAUUAAAGCCAAUGAUGAAUCCUUUCAAAAAUAUCCACCCACCAGUUCAGUGUGUUUUGCAUUUUUCUAAUUGGCAAGUCAAUAACAGAGAAAAACAACCUUCUGCUGCAUUCAUCUAGUGCAGUCUACUACUCUGUCAAACCAAAUGGCUGAAGCCUCUGCUCCGUUGUUUGAGGUUCCAGGUUCAGCUGCCAGCAAAUUACUUAUUAUGAGGCUCAUUAGUUACAAGAUUAUUUUUCUGAGAUGAAGACAAAGUAAAAUAUAUCUGUUCAAACUCAUUAACUCAAUUAGAUUUUUAGAGAAUUGUACUUUGGCAGAUGAGCUGUGAAAAAAAAUAAUAGUGUUUUCAGAAGCUGGGCCACUUGCUUUUAGAAGAGCCAGAGACCUCUGAAAAUACUACACCAGAAACCUCCAGAGGGAAGUCAACCGUGCAGAAAACCAUGGGCAGGCACAUUAUCUUCAAAACUCAAGAGACCAACUCAGUGGCAACUUCUUUUCCAACAGAUCAUAUGGAACAUUUUGUAUAUUGCAACCAACUGUAGUGGGAUGUUUCUCACUUUCAUAGAAAUCUGCCUAAAUUUCUCAAUAAUAUAUUGCAUCUGUUCAUUGAGGAACUUUCUGUAAGAGUAGUUUCAUAGCAAAAAUAUUUGUACAAAACCAGAACAAUCAACUACUAGGAUAACCUUAUAAUGUACAAAUGGUGAUUAUCACCUCCCCAACACUCUUCUGUCUUUCAUCUUUCACUGUUUCUCUCUGCAGUUGCUUAUGUACAAUAUUUUAUUUAGUCUAGACACUGUUAAGACAACAUGAUUCCCCUUCAGAAGGUCAUACAAGUACAUAAGCUGGUGCCUCAAGCUGGUGCCUCAAGCUGCAGUUUUGAAUUCUACCUCUGUUACAGAUUGGCUAUGGUACACAGUACUAGAGUACUUUGUUCAGAAUAGGAUUGUCAAAAUUGUAGUAAUAAUGACCUUAACAAGGUCUGCUUUACUUCAGAACCUGAGAAAAUGGUAUGCAUAAUAAAAACCACUGUAGAAAUAUAAGUCAUACAAUACAUUAUUUCUAUCAUAUCUGUACAAAUCCUUUCUGCUGUGCCCCUUUCUAAAUAAUACAUGUUUAUCUUCAUUGAUGGCAUAUCAAGGGACACUUUUAUCAAUGGUCAGUUUUAAAUAAAGUCACAAUCUAACUGUAUUUUAAGAAAGGCUUAAAUUUAAAAAUGCCUAUAUAAGCAUUGAUGUGAUGUUAUCCAUCUUGUUUGCAGGUGAAAAGUGCAAACCUUAUAGGUAGACGUAUGAAAUUAGAAGUACUCAUUUCUAUCAGGAAACUUACUUAUAGAAUUAAUGCAAGUGGGCAUGUUGAUACCACUGUAGGAUACUGAAAAGUACUAAAGCAGACACAUUUUUAAGGAUAGGUUGACAUAGAAGGGAAAAUACUAAGUGGUCACUUUUUUCUUCAGUUCUUGGUUACCCUUGAUGUACAAGUUUGACAGCAUAUUCUUCACUUCCUCUGUAACUGUUGUGCAACAUAAACAUGCCAAACUGUGAGCCCAUAUGAUUGUCAUUUUUGACCUUUUCCUCCUCCCUUUUGAUAUUCUUCAUUCCCACGAUAUCAUCAAUAUCCAAAGGAAUGAAGCAGAAACCCACAGUCUACAUAUCCCUGUAUUCACAGCUUGGCACUUCAGCAUCUGUCUUCCACAGCACUAGCAGAUGGAUUCAUUUACCAAAAUCGUUGUUGGUUUCAGUUCUCAACCAGUCUGUCAAAACAUACUCAGCUUUCUGGAAAGGGAGGCCUGCAUAAUUUAUUUUGUUCGUGUAACAUGGAAGAAAGGGCACUUAGCAUUCUAUCACAAAAAUUUGAAUGUUUUUCCUAGUAACGUGAGAUACCAUAUAGCUCCACCCCUUGUCCUGUUUAUUUGUGGAUUAGGAGUUAGAGAGAAAAAUGUUCACAGUUACUCUCUCAAAAUCACGCAUAACUAUUCACAGAAUCAUAGAAUCAUUAAGGCUGUAAGAGAUCUCCAAGAUCACCUAGUUCAACAGUCAACCCAUCACCCUCAUGCCCAUUAAACCAUGCCCCUCAGCUCUAUAUCUAUGUAUUUUCUGAACACUCCCAGGGACAGUAACUGGGCAACCUUUUCGAGCCUAUCACCACAACCUGAUACAAAAUUUUUUCCUAAUACCCAACCUGAACCUUCCCUUGUGCAACUUAAGGCAUAAUUAAAUUAAAUUAAUUAAGAUAAAUAAUUACUUCUCAUUCUAUUGCUGUUAUCUGUGAGAAGAGGUUGACAUCCACCUCACCACAACCUCCUUUCAGACAGCUGCAGAGAGCAAUAAGGUCUCCCCUGAGCCUCCAUAUCUCCAGACUUAACAAUCUCAGUUCCCUCAGCUAGUCCUCAUAAAACUUAUACUCCAGACUUCUCACCAACUUUGGUGCCCUUUUAUGGACAAACUCCAGGGCCUCAGUGUUUUUCAUGUAGUGAGAGGCCCAAAACUGAACACAGUACUUAAGGUGCAGCCUCACCAGUGCCAAGUAGAGAGAGAUGAUCACCCCUCUGGUCCUGCUGACUACAUUAUUUUUGAUACAAGCCAGGAUGCCGUUGGCCUUCUUUAACACUUGGGCACACUGCUGGCUGAUGUUCAGCUGGCUGUCUUCCACUGAUUGCAAGAGACUUACAUGCACUGAAAAUUAGAUGAGGUUACAAAGGAGGAGUACAGAAUCACAGCAGAGACAUACACGGGUAAAUUUAGACAAGUCAUGACAGAAGUCACUACUACCAAGGAACACUAAAAGAUACAAGAAAUUUUCUACAUGUUUGUUAGUAUUAUGUGGAAGACCUAGGAACAGAUUACCCUUUCUUUCCAAGGACAGAAAUCAAAAUACACAUUGCUUCAUGAGUUUUAAUGUCUAUUUUGCUGUCAUAGAUAAUUGCUAUGAGGCAGCUAUCAUUAAACCAAUGAUAAAAGGGUAGUAACUCAAACUCAAAUAUGCAAAGGAACUAUUUAGAUAAUAAUUAGAUAUGUUAGAAGUUUUAUCAGUUGUGCUUGAGAAAAAAAUGACAGAAAGAUAAACUAUGGAGAUUUCUAAAGUAUUACUAUGGAAAUUACAUGUUGAAACCACUGAAGAGUGAGUGAGCUCUCAAAACCCUGGAAAAUUGCACGUUCCAUUGGUUUGGGCUUUUUAAACUGAAAAAAAAAAAAAAAUGGAGGAGGAUAGAUAUUUAUAGAAUAGUCAGCUUAAUUUUGACUCCCAGAAAAUUUAUCUGAGCCAAGCUAAAAACUCAUGAAUAUGUAGAUGAUAACAAGCACAGAGUUAAUGGUCAAUGUGGUUUUGGAAAGAGCAAAUCACAUUCAGGGAAUUUAAUUUUCUUUCCAAAAUAAAACAAAACAAAAAGGGGCAGGGAGUUCCUUAUUCCUAUAAGGAACCAUUAGAGGUUACUCCUGUAAAAAUAAGUGACAUCUUUAGCAUGGAUUGAGUCACUGAAUGCACACAGACCAAUGCAGCAACUUUGCAGGACCAGAAUGCUUGACAGUAUGUUUAGCAAAGUGGCAAAUUCAGCUUCUGCUGCAACCACUAAUAUGGAUGGACAAGUGGAGAGAGUUUGAAGGCAUCUUCCCUCCGCAACAGGAAAACUCAACAGUAACAGAACUGUCAAGGGAAACCAAGAGAAACCAAGAUAUUUCUAACUAAAAGCAUGGUUUAAUUCUAUAAUUAGAUAAGAUUUGAUCCAUAGAAAAAUCACACAUGAUCAAAGUCCAUAGAAUUAUACUAGUAUGAAAAUAAUAAAUGUCCAAUGAAAAUCAAGUCUAAACCAAACUGUAGCCAAAACAGAGAUAUGUGAAACCUAUGGAUUCAAAAUGUAGUAAUUAGAAUAUACUUCAACUGCAUUAUUAAAGAGUGUAGUGCUCGUGAAUGACAUUUAAAGCAGAAUAUGUUUCCAUAUUGAGUAUUCUCCGUUUCUAUCUGUGGUUUUGUAUCUGAUUUUUUGCACAUUCCUCAUCACCUUGUUUGCUGUGGCCCAUAAUGUAGAACAAAGUUUUGUGCCUCUUCACAAAUACACAAGAAAACAUCAAAUUCGCUUCCAUCUCCAGCUGAACUAUCAGUUCCAGUCUGUGGUCAUCAUUACCCUCAGAAGCUGUGACUGACAGACUAGGUUGAUGUUUCACAGAAAAGCUAUAGUGAAAACAGGCAGCUUGAUGUACAGGGUGGGAACUCUCUAUGUGGCAAUUUCUUAGAUGGUCAGAUCUGCACAUUCUCCCUGAAGAUAGCCAGCUGGAGUUAAAAAAAAUAAUAAAUCCAAGAAUCUACUUCACGUACAACUCCUGGCUCAUCAAAGGCAAUACCUCCUGUCAGACUACCACACUUUCUCUCAUUAGCUUGCCACUGACUGAGAAGCUCAGCAACAAUAUACAAUCUGUACCUACUGCUUCUGUUUAUUUUCCUUUUGUUUGAACAAUGAGAGGAUAUACAUUACACCAAGACUUGAUUUUGUAGCACUGCUAAAUCACACUUGAGGGAACAAUGAAAACAGUGCCUGUUUAAUAAAUAUAUGUUGAUAUUUCAUAUCUAAUUGCUUCCAAUGGGAUCCUAAAUGUAUCCCAUGAAAGAGAGGGAAUAUAUAAGUCACAAAAGCUAGAGAACAUCUGACUGAUGUAUAUAACUCUCAUGUGUCAUGGUUAAACCUCUGGAGCAACAGUUCUUCCUGUCACUUUGCUACUGUCCUGGCUUCAGCUGGGACAGAGUUGAUUUUGUUCGUACUGUGUGAUAUGAUGCUAUGUUUUGACUUCAGGAGAAAAACAAUGUUGAUAUCACAUUGAUGUUUUAGUUGCUAAGCAGUGCUGUACAGAGCCAAGGAUAUUUCAGUUUCUCAGCUUCUGAGCUUCUCCUGUUGUAUUGCCCAUGAGAAGGCUGGGGGGGGGGGGGGGGGGGG
ensembl:lncRNA